AUGUACCACGCGUACUCCGGUUCCGAGCGCGCUGUCCACAGCUACCUGACGACUGCUCGCUACGUUCUGUUGGCU
rnacentral:sRNA from 4 species